AUUGAACGCUGGCGGCAGGCCUAACACAUGCAAGUCGAGCGAGCGGCGGACGGGUGAGUAAUGUAUGGGGAUCUGCCUGAUAGAGGGGGAUAACUACUGGAAACGGUGGCUACUACCGCAUACUAUCGGAUGUACCCAUAUGGGAUUAGCUAGUAGGUGGGGUAAAGGCUCACCUAGGCGACGAUCCCUAGCUGGUCUGAGCGGAUGAUCAGCCACACUGUAACUGAGACACGGGCCAGACUCCUACGGGAGGCAGCAGGGGGGAAUAUUGCAGAAUGGGCGCAAGUCUGAUGCAGCCAUGCCGCGUGUAUGAAGAAGGCCUUAGGGUUGUAAAGUACUUUCAGCGGGGAGGCGUUACCCGCAGAAGAAGCACCGGCUAACUCCGUGCCAGCAGCCGCGGUAAUAC
rnacentral:rRNA from 1 species